AUUGAACGCUGGCGGAAUGCUUUACACAUGCAAGUCGAACGGCAGCACGGACUUCGGUCUGGUGGCGAGUGGCGAACGGGUGAGUAAUGUAUCGGAACGUGCCCAGUCGUGGGGGAUAACGUAGUGAAAAUUACGCUAAUACCGCAUACGAUCUAUGGAUGAAAGCGGGGGAUCGCAAGACCUCGCGCGAUUGGAGCGGCCGAUAUCAGAUUAGGUAGUUGGUGGGGUAAAGGCCCACCAAGCCAACGAUCCGUAGCUGGUCUGAGAGGACGACCAGCCACACUGGAACUGAGACACGGUCCAGACUCCUACGGGAGGCAGCAGUGGAGAAUUUUGGACAAUGGGCGAAAGCCUGAUCCAGCCAUUCCGCGUGCAGGAUGAAGGCCCUCGGGUUGUAAGCUGCUUUUGUACAGAACGAAAAGGUUUCUACUAAUACUAGGAGCUCAUGACGGUACUGUAAGAAUAAGCACCGGCUAACUACGUGCCAGCAGCCGCGGUAA
rnacentral:rRNA from 1 species